AAAUUGAACUCGCUGUGAAGAUGCAGUGUACCCGCGGCAAGACGGAAAGACCCCGUGAACCUUUACUAUAGCUUGACACUGAACAUUGAGCCUUGAUGUGUAGGAUAGGUGGGAGGCUUUGAAGUGUGGACGCCAGUCUGCAUGGAGCCGGCCUUGAAAUACCACCCUUUAAUGUUUGAUGUUCUAACGUGGACCCGUGAUCCGGGUUGCGGACAGUGUCUGGUGGGUAGUUUGACUGGGGCGGUCUCCUCCUAAAGAGUAACGGAGGAGCACGAAGGUUGGCUAAUCCUGGUCGGACAUCAGGAGGUUAGUGCAAUGGCAUAAGCCAGCUUGACUGCGAGCGUGACGGCGCGAGCAGGUGCGAAAGCAGGUCAUAGUGAUCCGGUGGUUCUGAAUGGAAGGGCCAUCGCUCAACGGAUAAAAGGUACUCCGGGGAUAACAGGCUGAUACCGCCCAAGAGUUCAUAUCGACGGCGGUGUUUGGCACCUCGAUGUCGGCUCAUCACAUCCUGGGGCUGAAGUAGGUCCCAAGGGUAUGGCUGUUCGCCAUUUAAAGUGGUACGCGAGCUGGGUUUAGAACGUCGUGAGACAGUUCGGUCCCUAUCUGCCGUGGGCGCUGGAGAACUGAGGGGGGCUGCUCCUAGUACGAGAGGACCGGAGUGGACGCAUCACUGGUGUUCGGGUUGUCAUGCCAAUGGCACUGCCCGGUAGCUAAAUGCGGAAGAGAUAAGUGCUGAAAGCAUCUAAGCACGAAACUUGCCCCGA
rnacentral:rRNA from 1 species